rnacentral:rRNA from 1 species
UACGUAGGGGGCUAGCGUUGUCCGGAUUUAUUGGGCGUAAAGAGCGUGUAGGCGGCCUGGUAGGUCUGCUGUGAAAACUCGAGGCUCAACCUCGAGAUGUCGGCGGAAACCAUCUGGCUAGAGUCCGGAAGAGGAGAGUGGAAUUCCUGGUGUGGCGGUGAAAUGCGCAGAUAUCAGGAGGAACACCAAUAGCGAAGGCAGCUCGCUGGGACGGUAUUGACGCUGAGGCGCGAAAGCGUGGGGAGCAAACAGG